GGAAGCUUGCUUCCAACACGAGUGGCGAACGGGUGCGUAACGCGUAUGCAAUCUACCCUCUUCUGGAGAAUAGCCCUUAGAAAUGAGGAUUAAUACUCCAUAGUAUAACAAUUUCGCAUGUUAUUGUUAUUAAAGCUUCGGCGGAAGAGAGAUGAGCAUGCGUCCCAUUAGUUUGUUGGUGAGGUAAUGGCUCACCAAGACUACGAUGGGUAGGGGGCCUGAGAGGGUUAUCCCCCACACUGGUACUGAGACACGGACCAGACUCCUACGGGAGGCAGCAGUGAGGAAUAUUGGUCAAUGGACGAAAGUCUGAACCAGCCAUGCCGCGUGCAGGAUGACGGCCCUACGGGUUGUAAACUGCUUUUAUAUAGGAAGAAACCUCUUUACGUGUAAAGAGCUGACGGUACUAUAAGAAUAAGGACCGGCUAACUCCGUGCCAGCAGCCGCGGUAAUACGGAGGGUCCAAGCGUUAUCCGGAUUUAUUGGGUUUAAAGGGUACGUAGGCGGAACUUUAAGUCAGUAGUGAAAGCCCAUCGCUCAACGAUGGAACUGCUAUUGAUACUGAUGUUCUUGAAUAUAGUUGAAGUAGGCGGAAUACGACAUGUAGCGGUGAAAUGCAUAGAUAUGUCGUGGAACACCAAUCGCGAAGGCAGCUUACUAAGCUAUUAUUGACGCUAAGGUACGAAAGCGUGGGGAGCGAACAGGAUUAGAUACCCUGGUAGUCCACGCCGUAAACGAUGAUUACUCGGUGCUGGCGAUAUACUGUCAGUGCCUAAGCGAAAGUGAUAA
rnacentral:rRNA from 1 species